rnacentral:rRNA from 1 species
ACGAGAAAGGGGAGCAAUCCCUGAGUAAAGUGGCGUACGGGUGAGUAACACGUGGAUCAUCUACCUUUUAGUGGGGAAUACCCCCGGGAAACUGGGGACAAUACCGCAUAAGCUCGUGAGAGGAAAGCAGCAAUGCGCUGAAAGAGGAGUCCGCGGCUGAUUAGCUAGUUGGUGAGGUAACGGCCCACCAAGGCGAAGAUCGGUAGCCGGCCUGAGAGGGCACACGGCCACACUGGCACUGAAAUACGGGCCAGACUCCUACGGGAGGCAGCAGUGGGGAAUCUUGCACAAUGGAGGAAACUCUGAUGCAGCGACGCCGCGUGAACGAUGAAGCCCUUCGGGGUGUAAAGUUCUUUCGACGGGAACGAUAAUGACGGUACCCGAAGAAGAAGCUGCGGCUAACUACGUGCCAGCAGCCGCGGUAAUAUGUAGGCAGCAAGCGUUGUUCGGAAUUACUGGGCGUAAAGAGUGCGUAGGCGGUGCUCUAAGUCUGUUGUGAAAUCUCCCGGCUUAACUGGGAGGGUGCAGCGGAAACUGGAGUGCUUGAGGGUGGGAGAGGUAAGCGGAAUUCCUGGUGUAGCGGUGAAAUGCGUAGAUAUCAGGAGGAACACCUGUGGUGUAGACAGCUUACUGGACCACUUCUGACGCUGAGGCACGAAAGCGUGGGUAGCAAACAGGAUUAGAUACCCUGGUAGUCCACGCCCUAAACGAUG